AUCGGUAGGGGAGCAUUCUAAACUGCAUUGAAGGUGUAUCGCGAGAUAUGCUGGAGCGUUUAGAAAAGAAAAUGUAGGCAUAAGUAACGAUAAAAUAGGUGAAAAACCUAUUCGCCGUAAGACUAAGGGUUCCUGAUCAACGCUAAUCGGAUCAGGGUUAGUCGGGUCCUUAGGCAAAGCCGAGAGGCGUAGCUGAUGGCAAACUGGUGAAUAUUCCAGUACCUGCUAUAAUUUCGAUGGAGUAACGGAGUAGUGAACAGACCGCGCACUUACGGAAUAGUGCGUUAAAGGGUGUAGUUAUAUUUUUUGUAGGAAAAUCCGCAGAGAAUGAUGAACCUGAUAGUACGACAAAGCUUCGGCUGCGUUGAUAGUGUCUCUAAUCAGACUUCCAAGAAAAACUUCUAAGGUUAGGUUAUAGCAGCCCGUACCGUAAACCGACACAGGUAGUCGAGGAGAGUAUCCUCAGGCGCUCGAGUGAUCCGUGGUAAAGGAACUAGGCAAAUUGACGCUGUAACUUCGGGAUAAGGCGUACCGCAGUAAUGCGGUCUCAGUAAAAUGGUCCAACCAACUGUUUAACAAAAACACAGGGCCCUGCAAAAUCGAAAGAUGACGUAUAGAGCCUGAUACCUGCCCGGUGCUGGAAGGUUAAGGAAGGAUGUUCGGGGUAACCCAAAGCUUCUGACUGAAGCCCCAGUAAACGGCGGCCGUAACUAUAACGGUCCUAAGGUAGCGAAAUUCCUUGUCGGGUAAGUUCCGACCUGCACGAAUGGUCUAAUGAGUUGGACACUGUCUCUACCACGAGCUCGGUGAAAUUGUAGUAUCGGUGAAGAUGCCGGUUAAUCGCAACGGGACGGAAAGACCCCGUGAACCUUCACUACAACUUAACAUUGAUUUUGAACCACAGAUGUGUAGGAUAGUUGGGAGACUAUGAAGCAGCUUCGCCAGGAGUUGUGGAGUCAACGUUGAAAUACCAACCUUCUGUUGUUUAGAGUCUAACCCGGUAACGGGGACAUUGUUUGGUGGGUAGUUUGACUGGGGUGGUCGCCUCCUAAAAAGUAACGGAGGCUCGCAAAGGUACCCUCAGUACGGUUGGUAAUCGUACGCAGAGCGCAUUAGUAAAAGGGUGCUUGACUGUGAGGCUGACCAGCCGAGCAGGAGCGAAAGCUGGCUAAAGUGAUCCGGUGGUUCUGCAUGGAAGGGCCAUCGCUCAAAGGAUAAAAGGUACUCCGGGGAUAACAGGCUGAUCUCCCCCAAGAGCUCAUAUCGACGGGGAGGUUUGGCACCUCGAUGUCGGUUCGUCACAUCCUGGGGCUGGAGAAGGUCCCAAGGGUUCGGCUGUUCGCCGAUUAAAGUGGCACGUGAACUGGGUUCAGAACGUCGCAAGACAGUUCGGUCCCUAUCUGUUGUGAUCGUUAGUAAAUUGCGGGGACAUGACCUUAGUACGAGAGGACCGGGUCGUACGUACCGCUGGUGUAUCGGUUGUGCCGCCAGGUGCAGUGCCGAGUAGCUAUGUACGGAAAGGAUAAACGCUGAAAGCAUCUAAGCGUGAAACCUACCUCAAGAUGAGUUUACUUUUAAGGGCCGUCGGAGACUACGACGUUGAUAGGCUACAGGUGUAAGGGUGGUAACAUCGAAGCCGAGUAGUACUAAUUGCCCGUAAGCUUUAAUUUU
rnacentral:rRNA from 1 species